AGCGAACGCUGGCGGCAGGCCUAACACAUGCAAGUCGAACGAAGUCUUCGGACUUAGUGGCGGACGGGUGAGUAACACGUGGGAACGUACCUUUUGGUUCGGAACAACUCAGGGAAACUUGAGCUAAUACCGGAUGAGCCCUUAGGGGGAAAGAUUUAUCGCCGAAAGAGCGGCCCGCGUUAGAUUAGGUAGUUGGUGAGGUAAAGGCUCACCAAGGCUACGAUCUAUAGCUGGUCUGAGAGGAUGAUCAGCCACACUGGGACUGAGACACGGCCCAGACUCCUACGGGAGGCAGCAGUGGGUAAUCUUGCGCAAUGAGCGAAAGCCUGACGCGGCCAAGCCGCGUGAAUGAUGAAGGUCUUAGGAUUGCAAAAUUCUUUUACCAGGGGCGAUAAUGACGGUACCUGGAGAAAAAGCCCCGGCUAACUUCGUGCCAGCCGCCGCGGUAAUAC
rnacentral:rRNA from 1 species